rnacentral:rRNA from 1 species
GAGUUUGAUCCUGGCUCAGAUUGAACGCUGGCGGCAUGCCUUACACAUGCAAGUCGAACGGUAACAGGUCUUCGGAUGCUGACGAGUGGCGAACGGGUGAGUAAUACAUCGGAACGUGCCCGAUCGUGGGGGGAUAACGAGGCGAAAGCUUUGCUAAUACCGCAUACGAUCUACGGAUGAAAGCGGGGGAUCUUCGGACCUCGCGCGGACGGAGCGGCCGAUGGCAGAUUAGGUAGUUGGUGGGAUAAAAGCUUACCAAGCCGACGAUCUGUAGCUGGUCUGAGAGGAUGAUCAGCCACACUGGGACUGAGACACGGCCCAGACUCCUACGGGAGGCAGCAGUGGGAAUUUUGGACAAUGGGCGAAAGCCUGAUCCAGCCAUGCCGCGUACAGGAUGAAGGCCUCGGUU